AUGCAUGUAGCGUCUGUUUACACUAAAUAUCUGUAGUAUUGGAUGGUGUGUUUAUUAAUUGAUUUGUUUACUAAUGUGAUACCGUAGUCUGAGUGACUUUCAUACUUUAUUUCUCUUCUAAGGACAGUCUGAUUUCUAGUAAUUGGUUUAAUUAUAUGAUUCAUAAAAUAUGAGUGCAGGUAGCUUGGUACAGAAGAUUUGUUCUUGUCUAGAAAUAUUAGUGGAAGUAAAGACAACAGAGUCAUCUGAACCAGUCAGAAAUCUCUCAAAGAAAGAAAUAUUGUUUCAUCAGUUGAAGAAAAAUGUGCAUUCAGCUUUUCAAAAAUUAGAAAUUUAUGAUGAUUUAAAAACUGCUGUAAAGGAGUAUAUUCAACCUUGCCAAAAAAAUAAAUGCAAAACUUGUGAUCACUUGGAUUUUCUAGCUUUGUGUCUGGUGUUAAUUAAAUUGCUUAAUGAGGCCCUUAUUGCUGAAGAAACUGGGGAUGUUGGUGUGAACAAAAGUAAACAAAAGUACUCAGUGCCUAAAGUUUUACUGAGUAUAUCACAGCUGAAAGUACUUAAAAAGUGUUUGCAGUUUGUUGUAGCACUGGGAAUUUUGCCAAACUUGUUACGAGGUGUAGGUAUACCAUUGAUAAAAAAAUCAGAAUAUGGGAGUUUAGUAGAGCAUCUAUCAUCUGAUUGCACCCCUCAUCAAAAACAUGUGCAAAUUGUCAUCUGCGUGGAAACUCUACUGAAUUGUCUUGAUUGUGAUGCUAUACACAGUAUCAUUCUUACUUCUUAUGGGUGUGAUUUACUAUCUGCUUUGUUUCAACUGUGCCAUGCUCCUUUAAAAAAGAUAGAUGAUAAUGAGUAUGAAGCUAAAAAGGUCGAAUUAAAGAGAGAUUUUGUUACAAUGAUUGGGUUGAUAAAAGAUAAUUCAUCCUAUGAUGAUAUGCAAGUCAUUAUUGAAAGGAUACAUGAUCGUAAUCAUUUUACUCCUAGAUUAGAAAAGUUGACGAAACUGUUUUGUCGAUCUUCUCUGAUGUGGGAAUUAUUUCUUCAGCUUGGAUUUCCAGUAAAGGAUGAUAGAGUGUCGUCUGUCCCAAAAGUUCCAAUAUGGCUAAACAAACUGUGCAACCAAAUGUUUACCGAUUUGCUUCUUCAAAAGAAUGGUGUCGCAACAUUUGUACUAGCUUUUCUCACUGAAGUCCAUGUUAGAAAGUUCCGCUUUCCCAGCGAGCAGAAAUUUUCUCCCCAGCGAGCAGAAAUAAAUGUCGGCCAAGAAAAGGUACGAGAGCAACUCCGACAGGUGAAAGGAGAGCUUACAGAAGAAACUGGAGCCAUAAAAGACGAUGUGGAAAUGAGAGAAGUGGCAUCUGAAGAAUCAAAGGAUGAAAAAAUGAAGGAAGUAGCUAAUGAACUGCCUGAGAAAGAUCAAGAAAUGAUGGAUGAAACAUCUAACGAGAUUAAAGAAAGAGAACGAAAAGAUGAAGAAAAAGACAGGAAUGACGCUUCUCAUCCUCAGGCGUCCGAAGUUGAACUGGAAGACAGUGAUAAUAUUGCUCGUAAAGAUGAAGAAAUAAACGAAGUGGCUUGUAAAGCUUCUGAAAGAGAUUUUGAUAUUCAGAAUGCAACUGUAGAUCAUGCACACGUAGAGACUGUGGCUCGCAUAAUAGCAACAAAGCCUUCUUAUAAUUUGUUGUUAGAAGAUUACGUUAAGAGGUUGUCAAAACAGGUAUUUGAAUUGCUUCAUUCAAAAGGAUCUCAGUUGGAUGCCUUAUAUCAUUCUAUUGCAUCCUGCCUUAUUUUACAGUUUUGUGAAACAAGAAUGAAAUUAGCUCAGAAAUAUUUCUUUGACAGUAUUUUUAAACCUCUUCAAUUAUGUGUCAGUUCUCCAGGUACAGAUGGUGUUAUUGUGAAAGAGAAUGAAUUUACAGUGUGCAUUGAAGAUUUGUAUCAGAUUUUUGUUUCCUGCAAUUCUCCUGUCAGUCGAAAGCAUUCACGUUUGCUGUAUCCUUAUUUCCACUGUUUAUGCCGCUUGUAUUUCUUCUUAUUAGAAGGGAUAUCAUUUCUGAGGUCAAAAGUUAAAGGUUUGUUGGCACAUAUCUUAAGUUCUGCAUCUCAUGAAGAUGCCGUUCCUUUAUUGCAUGCAGCAACAUUUUCAAGCAAUAAAUACUUUCCUGUGCAUUUGACAAAAGUCCGUUUCAUGUAUGGUGAUGAAGGAGGUGUUGCAGCUGUCCCACCUGGCAUUGACGACUUAAGUGAAGCAUUUUCUCAUUGUCAUGGCACUUUAGAAUUGUUGAAAGAACUGCAGAAUAAAAGUUUAAACAGUUCAUACUUCUUAUUUAUUUUGCAAGAAUUUUGUAAUUUAAUCUCGAAAAUGAAAGAAGGUGCAAAAGAUGAAAAUUUUGGAAAGGAACGAUUACUGUGUGUCAUUCUGCUGAAACAGUUUUCUGAAUGGAACGAAGAAAUAAAUGAAGCUAUUUUAUCAAAUACAUCUGGAGCCAUUGACUUAGUUGUUGCUCUUUUGGAUGACGCUUGUGAUGAAACCUCUUUCCCCAAAGAGAGUAUUGUGAUAGCUCUGAUAAUUUUAAAUGCAGUGAUUGAAAACAUAAAUCAGCUGACUUCAGCACAUUGGGCUCUUCUUAAAAGAUGCCUGCCAAACUUACAGAAAUUGCAAAAGAGUAAUAUAGAUAUUUGCUUGAAACAGAUGGUGUCCAGUAUUUUAACAUUCAUUGCUACACAUGGUGCUGCAUGUGAAAAUGAUGCCUGUGCUGAUGUGAUGAAAGAAUUCAUUGCGAAUAUGUCUGAACUUUCAAACCAAAGAGCUAAGAAUCUUAAAGGAAGUCAAGCUCGAAAAGGGAUUAAUAAGAAAAGCAACAAAACAUGCUCUUCUAGAAAGCACACUUCUGAUUCAUCAAAUAUUUCUGAAGGGGCUGGAUGUUCCAGGCGGUCUAGUGACAACGUUAAACCUGAACCCCAAAAGAAAAGUGUUAAAGAUGUUGAUAAUAUAGUUUCAGGUAUAUCAAAUAUGGAUUUAGGUUCCUCAGUGAGCAAAAAGGAAUCUACUUUUCAAGCAGCUAUGAAUGAUUUGAAACAUUCAUUAGUCGCAGUUAGAGGACAUGCACUUAUUUCCCUGGGAAAGUUAUUGCAGCAACGAGAUGCUGAAACAUUACAUAACAAAGAAGAACUCUUGAAAAUGUUUCAGGAAAAUCUUGAGGAUGAAGACUCUUACAUUUAUUUACCAGCCAUCCAAGGUUUGUCAUUACUUGCUGAUUGUGAUGUAGAAUUGGUUCUUCCUACUUUAUUAAAGGAAUUUCAAAACCCUGGUAAAAAAGCAUGUGAGGUCAUAUUAAAAAUUGGAGAGGUUUUAUUGAAAAUUUGUCGUCUGUUAGAUACUUGUUUGUGUUCUGGCCUUACUGAAGACCGAUAAAGAUUUGGAAGUCCGAAGAUGUGCAGUGAUGGUCAUUACUCUCUUAUUUCGAGGAAUUGGAAAUGAUUUGCUUAAGGUGUUAGAAAAAGAAAUAAAAAGCCUCUAUAUACAAUUGAAAAUUGUGUACAGCACAGAAGCUGAUGAUGUUUUGCGUCUCCAUUCGCAGCUAGCAUUGGAAGAAAUAAAUGUGGUGAUGAAGGAACUCUUGUUAACA
rnacentral:misc_RNA from 1 species